GUCCGUACUGCAGCCGGCAGGCGAGAAAACUAUACCAUGCGGGCAACAUAGAUAAGGAAACCCCGACUGCCAGCACAGGCUGGCGGUCCGCCAGUUUAAACAACUGGCGAAGAAAGGGCCGGGCAAGACCGGUGCCAGCCGCCGCGGUAACACCGGCGGCUCGAGUGGUGGCCGUUAUUAUUGGGUUUAAAGGGUCCGUAGCCGGAUAAUAGGGUCCCUUGAGAAAUCCGCCGGCUUAACUGGCGGGCGUUCAGGGGAAACUUGUUUUCUAGGGACCGGGAGAGGUGAGGGGUACUUCCGGGGUAGGAGUGAAAUCCUGUAAUCCCGGUGGGACCACCUAUGGCGAAGGCGUCUCACCAGAACGGGUCCGACAGCGAGGGACGAAAGCUGGGGGAGCAAACCGGAUUAGAUACCCGGGUAGUCCUAGCCGUAAACGAUACUCGCUAGGUGUCGGCCACGGUGCGACCGUUGUCGGUGCCGUAGGGAAGCCGUGAAGCGAGCCACCUGGGAAGUACGGCCGCAAGGCUGAAACUUAAAGGAAUUGGCGGGGGAGCACCACAACGGGUGGAGCUUGCGGUUUAAUUGGAUUCAACGCCGG
rnacentral:rRNA from 1 species